UACGUAGGGUGCAAGCGUUAAUCGGAAUUACUGGGCGUAAAGCGUGCGCAGGCGGUUCGUUGUGUCGGCGGUGAAAGCCCCGGGCUUAACCUGGGAAUGGCCGUUGAAACUGGCGAACUGGAGUGUGGCAGAGGGGGGUGGAAUUCCGCGUGUAGCAGUGAAAUGCGUAGAGAUGCGGAGGAACACCGAUGGCGAAGGCAGCCCCCUGGGCUAACACUGACGCUCAUGCACGAAAGCGUGGGGAGCAAACAGG
rnacentral:rRNA from 1 species